rnacentral:rRNA from 1 species
GGAUGUGGGGUUGCUUAGACAACCAGGAUGUUGGCUUAGAAGCAGCCACCAUUGAAAGAGUGCGUAAUAGCUCACUGGUCGAGUGACCCCGCGCCGAAAAUGUACCGGGGCUAAACAUAUUACCGAAACUGUGGAUGAACCUCUUUAGAGGUUCGUGGUAGGAGAGCGUUCUAAGGGCGGUGAAGUCAGACCGGAAGGACUGGUGGAGCGCUUAGAAGUGAGAAUGCCGGUAUGAGUAGCGAAAGAAGGGUGAGAAUCCCUUCCACCGAAUAUCUAAGGUUUCCUGAGGAAGGCUCGUCCGCUCAGGGUUAGUCGGGACCUAAGCCGAGGCCGAUAGGCGUAGGCGAUGGACAACAGGUAGAGAUUCCUGUACCAGUGCUAAUUGUUUAACCGAUGGGGUGACACAGAAGGAUAGGGAAUCGCACGAAUGGAAAUGUGCGUCCAAGCAGUGAGUGUGAGAAGUAGGCAAAUCCGCUUCUCGCGAAGCAUGAGCUGUGAUGGGGAAGGAAAUUAAGUACGGAAGUUCCUGAUUUCACGCUGUCAAGAAAAGCCUCUAGGAAGAGUAGUACUGCCCGUACCGCAAACCGACACAGGUAGAUGAGGAGAGAAUCCUAAGGUGAGCGAGAGAACUCUCGUUAAGGAACUCGGCAAAAUGACCCCGUAACUUCGGGAGAAGGGGUGCUCUAUUAGGGUGCAAGCCCGAGAGAGCCGCAGUGAAUAGGCCCAGGCGACUGUUUAGCAAAAACACAGGUCUCUGCAAAACCGUAAGGUGACGUAUAGGGGCUGACGCCUGCCCGGUGCUGGAAGGUUAAGAGGAGUGCUUAGCUUCGGCGAAGGUACGAAUUGAAGCCCCAGUAAACGGCGGCCGUAACUAUAACGGUCCUAAGGUAGCGAAAUUCCUUGUCGGGUAAGUUCCGACCCGCACGAAAGGCGCAACGAUCUGGGCACUGUCUCAACGAGAGACUCGGUGAAAUUAUAGUACCUGUGAAGAUGCAGGUUACCCGCGACAGGACGGAAAGACCCCGUGGAGCUUUACUGCAACCUGAUAUGGAAUGUUUGUACCGCUUGUACAGGAUAGGUAGGAGCCGAAGAGACGUGUGCGCUAGCAUACGAGGAGGCAAUGGUGGGAUACUACCCUGGCUGUAUGACCAUUCUAACCCGCCACGCUUAGCGCGUGGGGAGACAGUGUCAGGUGGGCAGUUUGACUGGGGCGGUCGCCUCCUAAAGAGUAACGGAGGCGCCCAAAGGUUCCCUCAGAAUGGAUGGAAAUCAUUCGCAGAGUGUAAAGGCACAAGGGAGCUUGACUGCGAGACUGACAAGUCGAGCAGGGACGAAAGUCGGGCUUAGUGAUCCGGUGGUUCCGCAUGGAAGGGCCAUCGCUCAACGGAUAAAAGCUACCCCGGGGAUAACAGGCUUAUCUCCCCCAAGAGUCCACAUCGACGGGGAGGUUUGGCACCUCGAUGUCGGCUCGUCGCAUCCUGGGGCUGUAGUCGGUCCCAAGGGUUGGGCUGUUCGCCCAUUAAAGCGGCACGCGAGCUGGGUUCAGAACGUCGUGAGACAGUUCGGUCCCUAUCCGUCGCGGGCGCAGGAAAUUUGAGAGGAGCUGUCCUUAGUACGAGAGGACCGGGAUGGACACACCGCUGGUGUACCAGUUGUUCCGCCAGGAGCAUCGCUGGGUAGCUAUGUGUGGCAGGGAUAAACGCUGAAAGCAUCUAAGCGUGAAGCCCCCCUCAAGAUGAGAUUUCCCAUUUCUUCGGAAAGUAAGAUCCCUGAAAGAUGAUCAGGUAGAUAGGUUUGGAGUGGAAGUGUAGCGAUACAUGGAGCGGACAAAUACUAAUCGAUCGAGGACUUAACCAA